CAAAUGCGAUAGUUAGUGUGAACUGCAGAUAUUCUGAGCACUAAAACGUCGAAUGCACAUUGCGCCUCGGGACCUCCAUCCCUUGGCACGCCUGGUUCAGGGUCGUUUCUCACAACAAGGAGUCGCCAUGCUCCUAGCACGACUCGGCACAAGCAGCCAAGCCGCGUGGCUGCUUCGGGCCGAGCCUUCCAUGUUCGUGCUGUGUGCGUGAGCUUCCCGCUCAGGGGCAACACGGCCGGUCUUGUAGACAACACACAAAGACUGGCUGGCCGUGAGAUUCGCCUAGAGUGUUGGAAGCAACUUUCGCAUUUCCGACCUGAACUCAGACGUGAAAACCCGCUGAACUUAA
rnacentral:misc_RNA from 1 species